AUUGAACGCUGGCGGCAGGCCUAACACAUGCAAGUCGAGCGGAGCGGCGGGCGAGUAAGUAAUGCCUAGGAAGCUGCCUGGUAGUGGGGGAUAACGUCCGGAAACGGGCGCUACUACCGCAUACUAGCAGAUGAGACUAGGUCGGAUUAGCUAGUUGGUGGGGUAAAGGCCUACCAAGGCGACGAUCCGGAACUGGUCUGAGAGGAUGAUCAGUCACACUGGAACUGAGACACGGCCCAGACUCCGACGGGAGGCAGCAGUGGGGAAUUGUGGACAAUGGGCGAAAGCCUGAUGCAGCCAUGCCGCGUGUGUGAAGAAGGUCUUCGGAUUGUAAAGCACUUUUAGUUGUGAGGCGGUACCAACAGAAUAAGCACCGGCUAACUUCGUGCCAGCAGCCGCGGUAAUUC
rnacentral:rRNA from 1 species